rnacentral:rRNA from 1 species
UCCCAGACUCCUACGGGAGGCAGCAGUGGGGAAUAUUGCACAAUGGGGGAAACCCUGAUGCAGCGACGCCGCGUGAGUGAAGAAGUAAUUCGUUAUGUAAAGCUCUAUCAGCAGGGAAGAAAAUGACGGUACCUGAGUAAGAAGCCCCGGCUAACUACGUGCCAGCAGCCGCGGUAAUACGUAGGGGGCAAGCGUUAUCCGGAUUUACUGGGUGUAAAGGGAGCGUAGACGGCUGUGCAAGCCAGAUGUGAAAGCCCGGGGCUCAACCCCGGGACUGCAUUUGGAACUGUGUGGCUGGAGUGUCGGAGGGGCAGGCGGAAUUCCUGGUGUAGCGGUGAAAUGCGUAGAUAUCAGGAGGAAUACCGGUGGCGAAGGCGGCCUGCUGGACUGCAACUGACGUUGAGGCCCGAAAGCGUGGGGAGCAAACAGGAUUAGAUACCCCGGUAA